GAUGAACGCUGGCGGCGUGCCUAAUACAUGCAAGUCGAGCGAACGGACGAGAAGCUUGCUUCUCUGAUGUUAGCGGCGGACGGGUGAGUAACACGUGGAUAACCUACCUAUAAGACUGGGAUAACUUCGGGAAACCGGAGCUAAUACCGGAUGAUAUUUUGAACCGCACGGUUCAAAAGUGAAAGACGGUCUUGCUGUCACUUAUAGAUGGAUCCGCGCAGCAUUAGCUAGUUGGUAAGGUAACGGCUUACCAAGGCAACGAUGCAUAGCCGACCUGAGAGGGUGAUCGGCCACACUGGAACUGAGACACGGUCCAGACUCCUACGGGAGGCAGCAGUAGGGAAUCUUCCGCAAUGGGCGAAAGCCUGACGGAGCAACGCCGCGUGAGUGAUGAAGGUCUUCGGAUCGUAAAACUCUGUUAUUAGGGAAGAACAUAUGUGUAAGUAACUGUGCACAUCUUGACGGUACCUAAUCAGAAAGCCACGGCUAACUACGUG
rnacentral:rRNA from 1 species